GAUCAGUGCCGAUUUAUCAGUGUACACAGGAGAAAUGGUUUCAAUAUUGUUAGCAGUCCAGUGGAUUGAAGAAAUAAAGCCACUAAGAUCUGUGAUAUGUUCAGACUCGAGCUCAUCACUGGCCAGUCUGCAAGACAGUCACUCAGAAUGCAGACCUGACAUUCUGAUAGAGAUCCAGCAAACAUUAUUCAGAAUUAUUAUGAUGGGGCUUAUGGUCACAUUCUUAUGGGUACCAGCGCAUCAUGGAGUUAAAGGAAAUGAAACGGCAGAUAGGACAGCAAAAGAAGCAACAAGGAGACCGAUGGUAGAUAUGGUUAUUAGUGUUAGUAGGACGGAGCUCAAGAGUAGAAUACGAUAGAAAAUGAAGGAAAGGUGGCAAAAGCAAUGGGAGGAAGAGAGGAAAGGGCGAUGGUUUUACAAAAUCCAAAGGAAAGUGGGGAAAAUGAGAAGUACAGGACGAAACAGGAGAGAGGAGAUGGUUAUAUCUCGACUUAGAUUCGGACACACUGGUUUGAAUAGCACAUUAUUUUUAAUAGGAAAACACUAUACAGGGGAGUGUGACUGCAGUAGGGGACAGGAAACAAUAGAACACGUUUAUUGCUUUGUCAGAAGUAUGAUAUUGAAAGGAAACAACUGAUCAAAAAGCUGGACAAUAUGAGAGUGAAGUUGGACUUUCUUGAUUUAUUUCGCAUGAACUCUAUAAGUGAAAGUUAUCAGGCUGUAUUUUGGUUUUUAAGGCAGACCCAUUUGUUCGGGAGGAUUUGAAUUUUUUUUUUUUUUUUUUUUGUCAUUUCGGUCCACACUCCACAUCAGUUGGUGGCGGUUAUGCACCAUUUUGCUGUUUGCAAACCGCCAAUAAACCCUAUAAAGAAGAAGAAGAAGAAGAAGAAGACCUCUGCCAGAUCUACUGCUAACUCACAUUAGUGCUAGGCCGCCAAGCUCUUGUGAGAGCCCCUUAACAAUUGCAUUUCUCCUCACCGUGUUUUCUCUUUGUCAUAGGAACCCCUGGCCGUCACGCAUCACAAGCUGGACUACACGCAUCUCUGUCUGGACGCUGGUUCUCUGUUAUCAUGUUGCUCCUUUUUCAUCGUAAGACUUCACCUGCCUGCCUCCCUGUCUGUUGCUCCCAGUAUAUUCUGGCCCCUCUCUGGACACUCCUCACCCGGACCCCCUGGACACCCCCCUCCUCGCAUGACACUUUCACCUGCAACGCUGACUCCGUGUACCUCGAAGCCGCUGCCCCUUUUUCCCUCCCCAGGACCCGUCUAUGAAAUCUUGCAUCUGGUCAUCUGAAAGCACGCAGUCUGAGUUUCAUGUUCAUAGUCUGGCCUCAUAGUUCUCAGUUCAUAGCUUUCACAGUUUCCUGCUUUGUAAUUUAACUAGGCACUGUAAAUAAAGCACCGUGUUCACGCCCGUUUUGCCUCCCUCUGUGUCUGCAUUUGAGUCCACACAAACAGCCUGGCCCUCUCGGCCGUAACACUGCCACACCCAGGCAGUAAACACUUUUACUGUGGGUCACAGAAACAGAC
ensembl:lncRNA